GUGGGGAAUAUUGGACAAUGGGCGAAAGCCUGAUCCAGCCAUGCCGCGUGUGUGAAGAAGGUCUUCGGAUUGUAAAGCACUUUAAGUUGGGAGGAAGGGCAGUAAGUUAAUACCUUGCUGUUUUGACGUUACCGACAGAAUAAGCACCGGCUAACUUCGUGCCAGCAGCCGCGGUAAUACGAAUGGUGCAAGCGUUAAUCGGAAUUACUGGGCGUAAAGCGCGCGUAGGUGGUUUUGUAAGUUGGAGGUGAAAUCCCCGGGCUCAACCUGGGAACUGCCUCAAAAACUGCAUGACUAGAGUACGGUAGAGGGUAGUGGAAUUUCCUGUGUAGCGGUGAAAUGCGUAGAUAUAGGAAGGAACACCAGUGGCGAAGGCGACUACCUGGACUGAUACUGACACUGAGGUGCGAAAGCGUGGGGAGCAAACAGGAUUAGAAACCCUUGUAGUCC
rnacentral:rRNA from 1 species